AGGUGGAAGUUUUUCUCAAAUGACUACAGCUAGAAAUAAUCAUCUAGGACCAAUAUCUACUGAGACUUUAAUUUCUUCUGAGACUUUAUUAAGGAAGAAGCAUUUACUAUUUAAUCAAGGACUUCUGGAGUAAGUAUGAUUAACUCCAAGACCUGGAAUGGCAAGGAGAAGACUAGGAUGUUGAGGCCAGCUGACUUCCUCCACCUCUGCAUGAAGGCUAUUCAGCAUUAGAGACUCUCGUGUUCAGAGGCUGAACAAUUGGAACAUGAGCUGUUUUAUUUUGAGAAAUAAGAGAAAGGAGUAGCAAAUUUUAAUAUCAGUGGGGCAUAAUAUUGGCAUUGAAAAAAAUCAGUUAAAAUGGGCGUUUAGAUUGAGGCCAAUCUCAGAAAAUUGAGUAGACAGAGAUUUAGUAAUGGCAUAUUCUGUGGCAUCAGAAAAUAUCAGUAGUUUUUGGGCCCUGCAGCCAAGACAAGACAGCAUAUAUAGACCAUCUUCAGAGGUGACCUUCUCGGCAAUGUGGUCUAAAGAACUAGAUAAAUUUUUUCACAGAAUAUCAAUGGUUACUGAGGCCAUAAAAAGAGAAGGGAUUUGAAUAACUAGUGAAUUAGAUCCAUUAUAGGAAAAGGCCAAAGAGAAGUCUAUGGUUUCAUAAUUCAUGGAAUGUAUAAGAUAUCCAAAUGUCUGGAUGGCAAGAUGUACUAUGUGAAAUGGUUUGUUUGAUAUGCCUCUUCAAAUAAUGGAUAUACUCUGGGAUUCCCAGCAAGGGAUGGGAAACUAAGUUGAUGUAAAUAUAUUAAAAAUAUUUAGAAAUACUGGAGAAAACAUCAUAUGCAGAACAAUUGAAUUUGAAAUGAGAAAUGCAAGUAUCCAGAUUCCACAAAGGAAUUUUAGGAUAUGUGAGCAUGUGCAAAUGUGAAAUAUAUACAUAU